rnacentral:rRNA from 1 species
GAUGAACGCUGGCGGCGUGCCUAAUACAUGCAAGUCGAGCGAACAGACGAGGAGCUUGCUCCUCUGACGUUAGCGGCGGACGGGUGAGUAACACGUGGAUAACCUACCUAUCAGACUGGGAUAACUUCGGGAAACCGGAGCUAAUACCGGAUAAUAUAUUGAACCGCAUGGUUCAAUAGUGAAAGACGGUUUUGCUGUCACUUAUAGCUGGAUCCGCGCCGCAUUAGCUAGUUGGUAAGGUAACGGCUUACCAAGGCAACGAUGCGUAGCCGACCUGAGAGGGGGAUCGGCCACACUGGAACUGAGACACGGUCCAGACUCCUACGGGAGGCAGCAGUAGGGAAUCUUCCGCAAUGGGCGAAAGCCUGACGGAGCAACGCCGCGUGAGUGAUGAAGGUCUUCGGAUCGUAAAACUCUGUUAUUAGGGAAGAACAAAUGUGUAAGUAACUAUGCACGUCUUGACGGUACCUAAUCAGAAAGCCACGGCUAACUACGUG